UUUGCUUCAUGGUACACUAUGCUAACAGAAGCUACAGUACAGGGAACAAGUUGGACUAUAUUCUAACUGCUCAACAAGGAAUUGGUGAGCGUUAAAAUGUGUGCAGCAAUUAUGUGGCUCUGCUAGCAUACAUGCUAAUAUGACCACAAGUGAGUGAGUGAUGAUUGCUGACAUCCUGUGGUGAGAAGACGCUUUAAGUUGUUGAACAUCGAAACUAUACGUUUACUCCUGGAGGAGGUUUUAUCUCAGAGAAGAAAAAGCUGAAGAGGAGUCGUGAACCUGAUAAUCACCCGCACGGAUCAACAAGCAUUUCUACACAGAGAGUUGUUGGAGAGAGAUCUGAGAGGAAGUGGGAUGCAGCCAGGAGGACGAUGUGCCAGCAGGCUUUUCACCCCACCUUCAAAUGUGCAGACUGCAGAAGUGGACAACAAGUCACAUCAUAUUAAAAGCCUUUGAUACAGUC